AAUGGCAAUGGAGAUGAGCAUUAAAGGGAAAGAAGGUACAACAGAAAAAGUUAUAAAGAGAAGAGGUUUGAGAUUGUUUUAUUAAUACAAGGGAAGGGAACGGAAGUAAAUGAAGACUUCUGAUAGUUUAAUAUUUACACUGUAAAAGGAGUGACCCAGACAAAGCAGCAUGCAAGUUUGUUAACAGUGGAAACAGGAAGAGGGAAAACGGGUGGCAAUAAAUACCAGCAAAAGGCUAAAAUCAGGAGAAAUAAUCACAAGAGGUUCACGAUAUCUAACAAAUCACAUAAUCACCUCUUCCUCGAGCACCGUUAUUCUGUGAACCGAGGCGGUGCUCGAUGAGUCGAGUAUGUCCGUCAGGCAGGGACGCAGAGCACCGCCGCCACACUGGACGAAGGGUCACGCGAGAUACUUAUUCGACGUGUAUCCGAUGUGCUUCCUCCACUGCGGUCAUCACAGACCCUGGAAGAUAAAUCGUUGCUGGUGUGGAGAGUACUGGAAGCACCUCACUGCUGACCAGCCAUCAUUAUCAUCACAAAAUGUGGAAAAUCAUAAAGGCACACAAGCUCCAUCCCACAAUCCCAAAUUCAAACUAAUACAGUCCGUUCAACUGAAGCUCACAGGCUGCAUUUGUCUGCUUCUCCUGAUUGAUGGGACUGUCCCAUUGCUCACAUACAGGUAAGCAGUCACUCACAUGCUCUGAUGCUAUAUGCCUCUACAUUUUUUUGCCUGAGCUCACCUUCUAAACAAGAUAGACCAUUUUGGUUGGUACUAUUGGACUCGGUAGUGAUUGUAAAAUCUAAAUGUUUGUAAAAACUUGGUACAUAAAACAAUAAAUCAUGAUAAAAAGAGAACCCUUCCAAAAUCUUUACAAAGCAAACCCUUGCUUUAACAAACCAGUUGGAGGGAAGGAAGUGGUUAAAUCUGAAAAUCUGAUGGGUAUAGUCCAAGUCAUGACAGGGUUUAGUUCUGACAGGCGUGGUAAGUCAAAAUUUGCAUUGAAAAAUAAAUAAAAAUGGAGGCAUGAAUAGAGCAGCAUUUUUUGACCCCCCCACUGGCCUCAUGUGCUGGCUUGAAUUCAGUUAACCCAUUAGCCACACAACAUUGAGCAGCAUUACACAAUGGAAAUAUCAAGUUUGACAAAAUGAUGGCAUUAGCCAAACACCCUGCAGAGUCACUAAGCAGGAAAUUGUACAGGCAAGUAAAGGUAAACAUAGGAAACUUCAUAGUUAUGAGUGUGGCCAGUGUCACCUCUGUUGCAUCUUCUUGCCUUCUACACAAACCAUUUCAUAAUAUAUAUAAAAGCAUUUGUGAUCAGAUUAUGUAUCAUCUAUUUUGGGGGGUUUAUAUCAUGGCACAAAUUUGGCCCGUCACUGCUACACAGUAAAGCCACAAAUCUGGCCCGUCACUGCUACCGGGUUAAAUGCUCACCUAUAAGAUCUGCUGCUGGAAUAUUGCGAAUGAGCUAUUAUUGUGGGAUGCCUUGUUGUACUUGCUGAUCAACUCUCUGGUUUGGUUCACAGCCCCACCAGUGGUGAGUUGUGUGGCUAAAGAGUGAACUGAACAUGCUACACUCCACCCACGCUCCCAUUGUAAGUACUGCUCCCGCUACAGUGGCUGCUUUACCAGUUUAUAAGCCUACAGUCUGCUAUACAAGCAUACUGCUAGAUCUAGCAGAUAUCAGUUGGCUAGCAUGUAAGCUGAGCAAGGGUGAAGUUAGUCUACCGAGUUGUUUCCACCCCUUAUAUGUCUCAGCUGAUUGGUAGUAACACGUUAAAGAAUUUAACAAAAUCUACAGAGUGUAUUGUGACACGCUUACAAGAUUGGACCAACAACCAAUGGUAUCCCUCACUUGCUAGGCAACUGGGCACCUACUAUAAAACUGUGCAGUAUACAGGAAUCAUUUCUUAGAGAUUUAUUACUGUAUUAUUCAUUAAAUCAGUAAUGAUCUUGACCCUUUCACGCACCAAAAGUUUAAUAAGUUUCUCUUUCCACUGUGACAUCCAUCUGGGGCUCCCUAGGGGGCCUCGCGGAAUGGCCUGAACGUGCGGUGAAAAUUUUAUCGAUUUCACCCACGAGUAUUCUUUUUUCCUGGCAUUAUUAUAUAUCAUUGCUUUAGGAAGAGAUUAUUCUGCCUUAUGAAAGAAAAAAAUAUCAAGAAAUGCAAAUAAAUAGCGAAGUUUACCGACACUGCAAAAAACAAUUUAAAGGGACGACAGUCGCGCUCACAGGCUGCCUGCUGAGAGGCAACCAAACCACUUGAAAUCCAAUGGCACGAGAGCUGACAAAUAGGUCUAGCUUUGAUCUUUGACGCAAAAAAAAUUGACGCGAUUCUGAAAGAUACUUUAUUUUUGGCGACACAAUUCAAGUCAAACCCUCAUGUAGACGAUUCCAUUUUGCCACAAAUCGCGUCGUGGUGUGUGAAAGGGUUAAAAAAAAUUAAUUACCCAAUAACAUGGAAGUGUCACUACAGAUCAGCUGAGAUUUGUUAACAAUGCAGAUAAAUAGGUGCUUGCUCCACACACCCCUGCUACUGCACCUAACUAGUUAUAAAACUGCACUUGAUAGCGGAAAUGCGUGAUAAAUGAAUUGAAGAAUCAAUAGGAAUAAUUCUAAUUGGCUAUUGGACAGCCAAUUUACCUACAUUUUGUGCCUAUAUUACCUCUCUCUGGACAAACUUUCCUGCUAAACACUGUAUUAACAUAUUAUACUUAUUAUAACACUCAAACCACUACCUUAUUAUGCUCAGCGAUGGUUGGAUUUUUACAAGGUUGCUUUCCUAUUGUUAUCACAAAAAAAAUGGGUGGGUUUGGUUCACUCGCAACCACAUAACUCCUAAUGGGUGGGGAGCGAUCCAACCCAACCUGGACAGUCAAUCAGCUGACCCCAACAACAACAGCUCCCUCACAUACUCUCUCAGCAGCUCUAAUAGGAGACCAUUUACCAGAAACAGCAAUCGUAGGUGAACGAAACAUUCGUAGAAGGCAACAAGGUGCAGCAGAGGUGAUACCGGUCACACCCAUAGAACUACACCACCACCAUUGUUAAAAAGACUGAACCCCCCACCUACACAACCCUCUCACAACAACUUGGGCCAUUUGGCUAACACCGCCAUCAUGACACAACUUGUUCACUCCAAUGCAUAAUAUAGCACAAUGUUUUGUGGCUGUUUCACCAACUGAACACAGGGCAACUUUCACUGUUGUCAAUGGAGAGACACUCACUUGACUGAAUAAGUGGGAGAAUGGAGGGAGCAAUGAUGGUUAUCGUAGCACCAAUCAGUUGCCGUGUGAUCAAGGGAGUUGCUCUGGUGAUAAAUAUUUUUAUUAUUUCCUUGACAUGUGUGAGUGACUGCAUACCUCCUUGUGAGCGAAAGAACAGUUCAGUCAAAAGAGCAAUUCAGCCAAGCAGGAGAAGCAUGACAAAUGCAGCCGAGGCUCCAGGUGCAAGUCUCAGUUGAACAGGAGAUUUCUUAUGUCUUAA